rnacentral:tRNA from 1 species
GCAUUGGUGGUUCACUGGUAGAAUUCUUGCCCUCCAUACCGGAGACCUGGGUUAGAUUCCCAGCCAGUGCA